AGUGAACGCUGGCGGUAGGCCUAACACAUGCAAGUCGAACGGCAGCACAGUAAGAGCUUGCUCUUACGGGUGGCGAGUGGCGGACGGGUGAGGAAUACAUCGGAAUCUACUUUUUCGUGGGGGAUAACGUAGGGAAACUUACGCUAAUACCGCAUACGACCUACGGGUGAAAGCAGGGGAUCUUCGGACCUUGCGCGAUUGAAUGAGCCGAUGUCGGAUUAGCUAGUUGGCGGGGUAAAGGCCCACCAAGGCGACGAUCCGUAGCUGGUCUGAGAGGAUGAUCGGCCACACUGGAACUGAGAAACGGUCCAGACUCCUACGGGAGGCAGCAGUGGGGAAUAUUGGAAAAUGGGCGCAAGCCUGAUCCAGCCAUACCGCGUGGGUGAAGAAGGCCUUCGGGUUGUAAAGCCCUUUUGUUGGGAAAGAAAAGCAGCAGGUUAAUACCCCGCUGUUCUGACGGUACCCAAAGAAUAAGCACCGGCUAACUUCGU
rnacentral:rRNA from 1 species